CGUCCCCCACCGAUCCACUCCCCCUGCGGGAGUUCAAGGUUCGAGUGGAUUGGGUCAUCCCGCCGCCGCGGGUCUCCUUCGGGGGAUCCCGCUACGUGACGGGUUGACUGAAAUGGAAGGAAUUGGGCCGCCGUGGUGACACAGUCCGCGAUCGGGUGAUCCGAGUUCCUCCGGGAGCCCGGAAUUUUUCUAAGUGUGGCUGUGUCCCCCAGUUGGUUUGGGUUACCUCAUGCAGGUCGAGCGCGCCCUUGCGGCGCGCGUCACGC
rnacentral:misc_RNA from 1 species